UUUUCAGAAUUUGCAGUACCCAAAAUUCCCUUAUCUCUCCGUAAGCUUGCUGGACUUCCAGCGCUACUGGUUUGGAAAUCCUUUUUAGUGGAUUCCCAUUCCUGAGUUAGAGCAUCGAAUUUGGCAUGCAGUUCCUUGUUGGAUUGUUGCGCAGCUAAUAACAAGUUAAAGAGCUUAGCCAGCUAGUCUUGAACAGAAUCUCCCAUAACUGUUGGCUCUGAUACCAAACUGUUAUGGUCCCGGCUAACGGAUCUAAUUAUGGGUCGAUGGGUAGUAGGAGGGGUUGGUGUUUGGGUGUUUGGGUUAGGGUGUUUCCUUGAGCGACCUAUGGUGGAAGACAAGAAAAGUCAGACUCGU
rnacentral:lncRNA from 1 species